UACGUAGGGAGCAAGCGUUGUCCGGAAUCAUUGGGCGUAAAGCGCGCGUAGGCGGCCCUGUAAGUCCGUUGUGAAAGUCAAAGGCUCAACCUUUGAAUGCCGAUGGAUACUGCAGGGCUAGAGUCCGGAAGAGGCAAGUGGAAUUCCUGGUGUAGCGGUGGAAUGCGCAGAUAUCAGGAGGAACACCAACGGCGAAGGCAGCUUGCUGGGACGGUACUGACGCUAAGGCGCGAAAGCGUGGGGAGCGAACAGG
rnacentral:rRNA from 1 species